AACGAACGCUGGCGGCAUGCCUAAUACAUGCAAGUCGAACGAGAAAGCUCCUUCGGGGGUGAGUAGAGUGGCGCACGGGUGAGUAACACGUAGGUGACCUGCCCCUUUGUGGGGGAUAACCUCGGGAAACCGGGGCUAAUACCGCAUAAGCAAAUUGCAUUGAAUAGCAAUUUGGAAAGAUGGCCACUCCUUGGAAGCUAUCGCAGAGGGAAGGGCCUGCGCACCAUUAGCUUGAUGGUGGGGUAAUGGCCUACCAUGGCGAUGAUGGUUAACUGGUCUGAGAGGAUGAUCAGUCACACUGGAACUGAGACACGGUCCAG
rnacentral:rRNA from 1 species